UGGUCCACGUUUGUGGUAUUGGAUUAAUUUGAACGAAUAUGAUUAUUCUCGUUACAUAUGCGAGUAUCAACGAAGAGUUUGUCCGUAGAGAGGAUGUAUGCCAUUGCAGUACUUGAUGUAAUAAAAUCGUUGAAGCAGA